GGCUUGUGUCGUGUUGACGCCGUGACCUUAACGCACUUAACGACCCUUCUGUGGCACUUUGCGGCUUGUCGACAUCUGCCUUGCUUGUUUGUCCGAGCCGCGGCUAGGCCGGCAGCGUGCUGCCGUCAGAAAUUCAGUCGCUCGUUCAGUCCGGUAGUCUGUCCGUCCGUACGCGGGUUCUACGUCACGACGCGUUACUGCGCACCCUCCUCGGUCGCCAUUUUGACGCCCCGUUGCCUCGUUGUCUUUUGUCUACGGUCGGACGUCGCACAUUUUACAGGAACCGUGGAGAAUGUCGUUCGAAACCCGGAGAAGUCUGUUGACCCCGCAGCAAAUUGUGUUGGUGCAGCCGCUCCGGUAGACACGUCGGAAGACAACUUGGACAUGUUUUGAUCUGGAGUAGCUCAAACCUCGACGUGCAGUAACAUGAUUCAGUUGAGGACCAAAUAUCAGAUCACGAAGGUACGACGGAUGGCUGGAUUGCAGCGGUUCGUCGGAAAAGCAUUUCUUAUGAUCAUAUUUCUGCUGGAAUGAGAGUGUGUUCCUGUCAUCUCUACUCUUGAAAACCUGCAUAUGAAAUGCUGACAACACAUCCCGAUUGGUCACCAUAUCUCUUCUUUGGUUAUUCUGAGGUCAAGCGCACCACAUCGGAGCGUUAUGAGAGGUUGGAAAGGCGAAGAGUGCACGCUGAAACUUCAGUUUGCUCUGCUCUUACAAACACGAUCCCAAGUGUUGUUGUGAAAAGUCAAUAAAAUAUGAAUACCAAAACAUGACUUGAACAACUUCUUGACAAACUGUAACUGCUUGUUGUUUACUUCAGGUCUUCAUAAUAAACAGGUGUAAUAAUUACAAAGUCAGGUGACUUAAUUUUGUUAUUCUAUUUGGAAUAUGCAUUGACAAUGUGUGGACAGUGUUGUAGACAAGAACUGGGACUGAUAAGUUGCAAUAGAUUUAUUUCAAGUAAUGCAACUUCUCCAAUACAGUAUUUGAGCUGACAGUUUAAAAUCUUUAAAUUAGUGCAAACAAGGCCCACCCUCUGACGGGGUCAGCAAAUAUUAUAUAAUUAUAAGUAAUAUAUACAGGUUUAACAUAAAUGUGUCUUUGUCAAAGCAGUUUAAAAACUAUUUACUGGCCUUGAGUAAAUUGCCAGACAGAAUAAAUAUGUGGUUUAAAGUUCUUGCAUUUCCAUUUUAAGUAUUGCAAGUACUAGUCUCCAACGCAGUAUUUGAACUGACAGUUUAAAAUCCUUUUAGUACAAAAUGGCCCACACUCUGGCAGGGGGCAGCAAAUAUUAUAAUACAUAAUACAUUAUAAUAAGCUAUAUACUAUAUAAAUACAAGAUCACAACAAAACCUGUAUUUUUCAAAGCAGUUAAAAAACAUCCAGUGGCCUUAGGUAAAUAAACGUGUAUAAAUAUGUACUUUACAGUUCUUGCAUUUCUAUUUUAGGUAUUGCAACUUUUCCAACACUAUUUGAAUUGACAGUCUAAAGUCUACAUUAGUGCAAAUAAGAAUAUUAUAAAUUAAAAAUAAUAAUAGAAUAUAUAAAUUCAACAUUACAAUGAAACGUGUCUUUGUCAAAGUGAUUUAAAAAAACGUCACUGGCCAUAGUUAAAUAGCCAGGCAGAAUAAAUAUGUGCAUUACAGUUCUUGCAUUUUCACAAGUUAAAAGCCCGCAGUUCAUCGACGAGAAGGGCAGACCCAGAUGGCGUCUGCAGCAGGGGCUUGUUUGAGUCCGACACAGGACAAAUGGAACCACUCCAUUGAACAAGUUUUCUUUGUCAAAUGAUCCAAGAAGAGAGAUGGUGACCAAUCGGGAUGUGUUGUCAGCAGGUUUACCUAGGAACACAACAGGUAGGUGAGUCGUAGUAGGCGAGCAUUGCUACCA